UUUUUUACAAACAGGACAAGUCCAGUCCGCGAUCAUUUCGUUAUAUGGUUCACUACUGACACCCUGGAAAUAUAUAGAAGGGGUUUUUUGAACGAGUUUUGAUAAAGAAAGUUGACAUGAAAAUAAAAUGAUGUGCAGGAGGAAUGAAUAUAGGAUAGGGCAACCCAUCCAAUUAAAAAACAAAACGAGAAAUGGAGAGUAUGAUGAAGUAUUUUUUCAAUAAAGAAUAAAUAAUAACACCUACAAGUGAUUCAGACUACGAUCUAACAAGACCAAUCUCAUUCUGUAAAAAAUAUAUUGAAUCGGUUUUUGCAGAAAGUUCAAGGCGGUUAAAUGGGAAUAUGAUUAUGUCUUUGAUGGUAUUCAAGAUAUUAAGACAUUUGACGACGACUUCAAA